rnacentral:rRNA from 1 species
AUUGAACGCUGGCGGCAUGCCUUACACAUGCAAGUCGAACGGCAGCAUGGAGAGCUUGCUCUCUGAUGGCGAGUGGCGAACGGGUGAGUAAUGCAUCGGAACGUACCGUGUAAUGGGGGAUAACGUAGCGAAAGUUACGCUAAUACCGCAUACGACCUGAGGGUGAAAGCAGGGGAUCGCAAGACCUUGCGUUAUACGAGCGGCCGAUGUCAGAGUAGCUAGGUGGUGAGGUAAAGGCUCACCAAGGCGACGAUCUGUAGCGGGUCUGAGAGGAUGAUCCGCCACACUGGGACUGAGACACGGCCCAGACUCCGACGGGAGGCAGCAGUGGGGAAUUUUGGACAAUGGGGGCAACCCUGAUCCAGCCAUGCCGCGUGAGUGAAGAAGGCCUUCGGGUUGUAAAGCUCUUUCGGCCGGGAAGAAAUCGCACAGGCUAAUACUCUGUGUGGAUGACGGUACCGGCAUAAGAAGCACCGGCUAACUACGUGCCAGCCGCCGCCGUAAUAC